AUGAAUCUGUUUUCUGCCGGUCAACUUACUGAUUCUGGUUGUCGUGUCAUCCUUGAUGUUGACUCUUGUUCUGUUCAGGAUCGUCGCACGCACACUCUAGUUGGGGCUGGCCCUCGCCGCCGUGAUUCUCAGGGUCUUUGGGAGUUGGACUGGCUUCAUGUUCCUUCCGCUGCCACCACCAUCGCCAGUUCCUCCGCUGCUGUCGCUUCUGUUACUGGUUCCUUCAAGCAAUGGCAUCAUCGACUUGGUCAUCUGUGUGGUUCUCGAUUAUCGUCUUUAGUUCGUCGAGGUCUUCUGGGGUCUGUCUCAGGAGAUGUCUCUUUAGAGUGUCAGGGUUGUCGUCUUGGCAAGCAGAUUCAGUUACCAUAUUCUCAUAGUGAGUCAGUGUCUCAGCGUCCUUUCGAUUUAGUCCAUUCUGAUGUAUGGGGUCCGGCUCCUUUCCCUUCGAAAGGUGGUCAUAAAUACUAUAUUAUUUUCAUCGAUGAUUUUUCUCGUUACACAUGGCUUUAUUUCAUGACUUCACGUAGUGAGGUGUUGUCUAUUUAUAAGCGUUUUGCUGCCAUGGUUCAUACUCAGUUCUCUUCACCCAUUCGUGUUUUUCGUGCUGACUCCGUUGGUGAGUAUAUCUCUAAGAUGUUGCGUGGUGUCCUUGCUGAGCAGGGUACUCUUGCCCAGUUCUCUUGUCCUGGUGCUCAUGCUCAGAAUGGUGUGUCUGAGCGCAAGCAUCGUCACCUUCUUGAGACGGCUCGUGCUAUGAUGAUCGCCGCCUCUCUUCCGCCUCAUUUUUGGGCCGAGGCUAUCUCCACUUCUGUCUAUCUCAUCAACCUUCAGCCAUCUGCUGCUUUGCAGGGUGGUGUUCCUUUUGAGCGUCUGUUUGAUCGCUCUCCCGAUUAUUCGAUGCUUCGCUUGUUUGGUUGUGUUUGCUAUGUUCUUCUUGCCCCUCGCGAACGCACCAAACUGACCGCUCAGUCUGUUGAGUGUGUCUUCUUAGGCUACAGUGAUGAGCAUAAGGGCUAUCGUUGUUGGGAUCCUGUCGGUCGUCGGAUGCGUAUCUCUCGCGAUGUGACUUUUGAUGAGUCUCGUCCUUUUUACCCACGCCCAUCUUCCUCGGUCUUUUCCGUGGAGGAUAUCUCUUUUCUCACUUUUCCUGACUCCCCUAUCACUCCUGUUGCGCCUGUGCCUAUUCGUCCCACUCCCUCUGCUUCUCCACCCCUUGUCGAUUCACCGCCACCAUCUUCCCCGGUCUCCUCACCUAGCAUGUCACCGGAUUCUACACCUUCAUCUCCGGUGACUUCUUCGUCACCUCCCCCUGAUUCUACCUUGGCGAUUCCUCCUUCUCUUGUUCCAUCUCUUCCUCAGCAUUACACUCGUCGUUCACGGCCUGUGGAUGCUUCCUUGGAUGAGUCGUCCUCUUCCUCUCAGCCUACUUAUGGCUUGCGUUCUCGUCCUCGUCCGCCUAUUGAUCGCUUUGGAUUUCCCACCGCUGGUGCUGCUGUUCUUGAGCCGACUUCUUACCGUCAGGCUGUUGUUCAUCCUGAAUGGCAGUUUGCGAUGGCAGAGGAGAUUGCUGCUCUUGAACGCACUGGUACCUGGGAUCUUGUUUCUCUUCCUCCCGGAGUCCGUCCCAUCACUUGUAAGUGGGUCUACAAGGUUAAGACUCGCUCCGAUGGUUCUCUUGAGCGUCACAAAGCUCGUCUCGUGGCUCGUGGUUUUCAGCAGGAGCAUGGUCGUGAUUAUGACGAGACUUUUGCUCCUGUGGCCCAUAUGACCACUAUUCGUACACUUCUUGCCGUUGUCUCUGCACGCCACUGGUCUAUAUCCCAGCUUGAUGUUAAGAAUGCAUUUCUUAAUGGUGAGCUGCGUGAGGAGGUGUACAUGCAGCCACCACCUGGGUAUUCUGUUCCUGAUGGCAUGGUGUGUCGUCUUCGUCGCUCUCUCUAUGGCCUUAAGCAAGCCCCUCGCGCCUGGUUUGAGCGUUUUGCUUCUGUGGUCACUACUGCUGGUUUUUCAGCAAGUGCUCAUGAUCCCGCAUUGUUUAUUCACCUUUCUCCUCGUGGCCGGACUCUUCUUCUUCUCUAUGUUGAUGAUAUGGUCAUCACUGGGGAUGACCCCGAGUAUAUUGCCUUUGUAAAGGCCCGUCUUAGUGAGCAGUUUCUUAUGUCUGAUCUUGGACCUCUUCGCUAUUUUCUUGGGAUUGAAGUCUCUUCUACCUCUGAUGGCUUUUUUAUAUCCCAGGAAAAGUAUAUCCAGGAUCUUCUUGCUCGUGCUGCUCUUUCUGACGAGCGCACUGUUGAGACUCCUAUGGAGCUCAAUGUUCACCUUCGUGCUACUCUGAUGGUGAUCCUCUCCCUGACCCGACGCGUUAUCGUCAUCUCGUUGGCAGUCUUGUCUAUCUAG
rnacentral:rRNA from 1 species